rnacentral:rRNA from 1 species
UACGUAGGGUGCGAGCGUUGUCCGGAAUUAUUGGGCGUAAAGAGCUCGUAGGCGGCUUGUCGCGUCGGAUGUGAAAGCCCGGGGCUUAACUCCGGGUCUGCAUUCGAUACGGGCAGGCUAGAGUUCGGUAGGGGAGAUCGGAAUUCCGGGUGUAGUGGUGGAAUGCGUAGAGAUCCGGAGGAACACCAGCGGCGAAGGCGGCAUCCUGGACUGGUCCUGACACUCAGGAGCGAAAGCGUGGGGAGCGAUCCGG